rnacentral:lncRNA from 1 species
UCCUUUUUUUAAAAAAAGAAAAAAAAAAAAAAAAAAAAAGGACCUCUGCCCUUAAUGGACCCUUCAUGGCCAGAUGGGGCUAUGAAAAUACUCUGAUCUGGGAAUAAAUGCUAAUGUAGGAAUUGUUACUCGAAAGUGAGGAUGGACAACCACUGGUCAGGAGGAAAUCCAUGUGCACUGUUCUUAGGGAGGGCGUAACCAUCACCAUGCACCAUGCUAAGGUUUGGUUCCAGGUGGCUGCAGGUGAUGGGCUGCAUGCUCCCUGGUUUACAGGUUGAGACGUGUGCCAUGCGCACGAACUGGAUCCCACAAGCACCUUGCCCGUGGUUCUGAGCCCCUCUGUGUGACACCACACACAGUUGUGUGACUCCUGGAUGCUGUUACUCGAAGACAAUUUUAUAUUUUUUUUCCAAAAUACUGUUUCACACUAUUACAACUGGGACCGGAGAUGAGAAGGACCAGCGUGUGCUAGGAAACACAUUAAUUGUGCCUAAAAAUAUUUGCUUUUUCUUGAAAUGCCCACUUCCUUCCCAACUGAUCAAAGGAUGAAGGUUCCAGAGAGCCUUUCUUCUGACAGACUUGAUUAUGUAGGAGUUCCCUUCUAGAGAACUUGUUAUUUUAUAAACAUAUGCAUAUGCAUAAUAUAUUCUGCCCAACACUCCCAUUUUCUGAUCUGCGCAGUACAACAGAGUAUCCCAUGGAGUCGCAGAACAAAGAAAAAAUUUCUCUGAAAUCCUUUCCUUGAGCCAAGUGUGCUCCUGGCUUUCUUUCAGAACGAAAACCCCUAGCCUGGAUUGGGUCGCCUGUCUAGUCCUCUGGAGGGAAUGGUAGACCGCGCUGGUGUGCUCUCUGGGGAAGUAGCACGGUUGGGCGUGCUGGAUCUUGGGUAAAUUUUCCUUUCACAGAAUCGGGUUCUCCUCUAGACAGUUUAUCUACUUGUCUGUGUUUCAUUUCCUUGGUGACUCAUUGUUGUGGGCAGCACUUGUUCAUAUUUUGCACAAGAAAUCCCAAGCCCAGAGAAUGUUAAUGACGUGCAAUAGCCGUACAGCUACGAAAUGGUAGGUUUGAGAUUUGAACCCCUGUCCACCCCAACCCCGUGCCUUCACACUUCUGCUUAACCGCAUAGACUCAGGGCUUCAUCAGUGUGCAGUGCGCAGGUGGGAAGGAACCAGUCUCCUCCAGCACAGGGCCCCAGUUCUCCUUCAGUCAGCAGGCACUCCACACAAGCUGUCUGUCUGUCCUGGUUAGGGCGUCUGCCUCCUUCCCUAGUACCUAGAAAGUGGAAAGUGUUGAAAUGGCAUUUGUAACAACACAGGAGAGAGCACAGAGAAAGUAAAACGCCGUACGUUGGGAAGCUGACAAGAGCUCAGGGUAGAAGAAGUUAUAGCAGCCUUAUUUACUUCUGAUGAGGUAAAGCUCACAGUGUAUAUUAUCAACCAUCUCAAAGUACAAGCCAGUAUUGUAAUGUCACCCCUGUCUACUUCCACAACAUCUUCAUCACCUCACAUGAAAUGCUAUGAUAGCUAGUAAGCAGCAAGUUUUGUGGUUUUCCCCCCUUGUAGCCACUAACCCCUGGUAAGGUACCAUCAGUUCUUUCUCCCCAUCCCUGUCACCCUCACUCUCUGGAUUUAUCUUCUCCGGACACUUCCUACACACGACACGCUCAAGACCUUGCCUCCAUUUUGCAGCAGGGCUUUCAAGGUGUCCAUGCUGCAACUUCAGCUCUUUAUUCUUUGUGGCUGAGGGGGGUUGGUUUGUAAUGGAAGAUUGUGAGGCAGCUCUGCCCCUGAAAUGGGACACCAGCCCCUAACCCUCUCUGUAACCGUGAAGGUCAGGUUGCUCUGGAAAGCAAAUUCUGCGGGAAGCUGUGAAGUAAAAGGCACCCGGGUUCACUGAGGGGAGGAGCACCCUAGCCCCUUGUGGAGACCCAGGCUCCACAUUCUGAAGCUUCACUCUUUAGCCACCCUUCCCCUGUCCCUGACCAGAGUGCCCUUUGUCCUCCUCUCUCUCACAUCCUUUGAGGCACUGUGAGGAGAUGCCACACUGUAGAGUCUGGCGAGCCACGCCCAUGCUCAUCCUUUCUCUGGCGUAGUAAAGCUUGUUGGUCGUCUUGGUCACUGAAAGGCGGCAGACAUGCUGCAGUGGUAAUAUUGCCUCUCCCUACACAGACAUUUCCUGCUCCUGUAUAAAUUCUCAGAUGUGCUGUAGCAUUUAUGUAGGUAAAAAUAUGUAGGUAUCAUGUAGGUAAACACCCUGUUUCUAUCUAAGCAUAGUUUCCCACAUGAGUAUGGAAUAUUCUGUAUAGUUUUUACACAUACUGAUUUUCCCACAUGCACAAAAUCAGUGUGUGUGGUGAAAGAGGAGUUAACCCUGGGAAAAUCAGUGGACUAUAACUACAGUGACAACCUGGAGAUCCUACUGGCUGUGUGUGUACCUGUGUGUGUGUGUGUGUGUGUAAAAUCUAGUAAAAAAUACUUUUAUUCAUCUAGCAUGGUUUGCGCUGUCCCUGAAGGAUCCUGACUAACAGGCUUCACCAAAGAACUUACUGCUGCCAGUUCAGACAGGGUGACGUGUUUGCAGCAAGGAGCAUCACCUUUGAACACAGCCCCGUGGGCAAGAUGUGUUGCAUCACCCCACAUUAGCAUGGGGCCAAAGGAAGAGGAACAGGUAGAGGGUUGGGCUAUCUGCCAUGGUCAUGCUGUGCCGUGCUGAUGCUGUAGUGUUUGCAUACCCAUGCUCAAGUAUUCCUGUGUGACAUCACCUGUGUGCUGGUUUCACAUUUGGAUUCAAGUAUAUACCUAAGGGUAUGUAUUUGAAUAAUCCUUCCUAUGCAUUUAUACAUGGAAGCACAUUUUGUUUUAUUAUGAAUUAAUUUCUGUGUUUUUUUUAAUUUAUAUUACAAUCAGGAUAUUAUUUGAACCUUUUAGCCAUAGGUGUCUAUAGAUUAUAUUGGCUUGAAUUUAAUUUCGUGUAGUCAUAGAACACUGAGAAGGAGAAAAAGCUAAGACUCAGUCCAGAACAUACCAGC